CAAUUCUCAAAAGAAAGAGAAACAAGCUUAACCUUUUUCUGCCAGAAAACAAAAUCUCCCUUUCUUCUCCUCCUGAAGCUUCUCUUAGCCCUGUUUACGUCAGUCAAUUUGCAUGCCUUAAUGCACCUAAAUCGAAGCCUCUGAUCGAAAAACGUUCUUCAUCAAAGUUGUUCAUCAUCAUCUCAUCUAUAACAUAUCCAAAAAUCAGUGCGAUCAGAUCUGUAAUGAAGUCUGUACAUCGAUCUGAGUAGAGGUAGCUCAGAAAUCAGCAGAUUUCGAGUUUCAGCUUUUCUUUAUCCUCUUUCCUUAUCAGGAUUCCUCAAAUUCCUUUGGAAAUAAUUCUAUUAUGAGUGGCAUUCCUUGAUAUAUGACUGGGCUUGGCCAAAUUCGUCUUGUCUCUCCAUCUUUUCCUGUCGAAUGUCAUGAGGGAACUCAGCCAUACGUUUGAUUCAGUGGGCCUCCUAUAACUCAAAGGAGAUCAGUGGACGAUGGCGUUGCAUCGAUUAUUCACCCAACAUCGCUUAGCUUUGGACUCCAGAUAAUGAGGGUGACUUGAGAGUGAGAGGAGCAUAGCGACUUCCUUGGGCUUCGAUCCCCUAAACCUCCGGAGGGGCCGUAUGGACGGUAGAGUGUCUGACAUCCUUUGAGGUGUGGCACUGCUUCUAGGUGAUACGGCGUAAGUGGACACUCUCGCUACGCCUUGCCGGUUUAAACGAUAGUAAUCGUGGUAAGGGUGUAGUUGGCUUUAUGAUCGGUCAUCAGGUUUGUUAAUCGGAUAUCCGAACAUUUGAGUUUACAGAAAAUGUUUUCAAUGUGGAUUUUAUCUAUAUAUGUAGUUUUUACUUACUCGCCGGCACCCAUGUUUAUAUAUUACAAUUGUUUUCAAACCUAGCUAGGGUUGAGCCAUAUUGGGCCCGCGAGGACGAGUGCUCAUCCCUACAACAGUUGUGUGAUUGCAGGUACUGUGCACGAAGACGGGACAGCUAGGAUUGGCGAUGGGUGUGGCAUGCUUUCUCUCAAUUUUGAAUUUGUGUAUUGUCGAAAAGUUGUUCCGGUUAACAGGUUUUGGAUUGUGGAUUCCAAAUCCUAUUAUUCAUCUCAUAAUUCUAUCUAUUUCAUAAUUCCUUGUUUUGUAGUAAGUUUGUAACAAUUGAUCAGAACAUCCUCUUCAAUUAUUUUCUGCUGGUUAUGUGUUUGCUAUGAAGUUAUUGGUUCAGAAAUUG